rnacentral:misc_RNA from 1 species
AACGCAUAUUGCGCUCGAGGCUUCGGCCAAGAGCAUGUCUGCCUCAGCGUCGGGUUAAUACUCGCUCUAUCCCUCCCUGGUGGGGGAUAUGAACGGAUCUGGCUGUCUCGGCAAUCCAUUGGACUGCCGGGUCAGCUGAAGUGCAGAGGUUGAUGCAUGGACCCGCUAAUGGGCCUCUACUGGGUAGGCAAUUCGUUGCUAAUGCUUUAGUAGAUGGCUUGGGACUGUGCCUGUCGGCCCAAACCAGGAACUCAGCCUCGUGCUGAGCAAAACCCCUAUUUUCUCGACCUGAGCUCAGGCAAGAUUACCCGCUGAACUUAA